rnacentral:rRNA from 1 species
AACGUACGCUGGCGGCACGCCUAACACAUGCAAGUCGAACGCAGUAGCAAUACUGAGUGGCAGACGGGUGAGUAACAUGUGGGAAUCUGCCUUGUGGUUCAGGACAACAUUGGGAAACUGAUGCUAAUACUGGAUAAGCCCUUACGGGGAAAGUUUUAAUACCAUAAGAUGAGCCCGCAUUUGAUUAGUUAGUUGGUGAGGUAAUGGCUCACCAAGACAAUGAUCAAUAGCUGAUCUGAGAGGAUGAUCAGCCACACUGGGACUGAGACACGGCCCAGACUCCUACGGGAGGCAGCAGUGGGGAAUCUUCCACAAUGGAGGAAACUCUGAUGCAGCGAUGCCGCGUGAGUGAAGAAGGCCUUUGGGUUGUAAAGCUCUUUUGUAGGGGAAGAUAAUGACUGUACCCUAAGAAUAAGGUCCGGCUAACUUCGUGCCAGCAGCCGCGGUAAUACGAAGGGACCUAGCGUAGUUCGGAAUUACUGGGCGUAAAGCGCGCGUAGGCCGUUGAGUUAGUUAAUUGUGAAAUCCCAAAGCUUAACUUUGGAACUGCAAUUAAAACUGCUCGACUAGAGUUUGAUAGAGGAAAGCGGAAUACAUAGUGUAGAGGUGAAAUUCGUAGAUAUUAUGUAGAGCACCAGUUGCGAAGGCGGCUUUCUGGAUCAACACUGACGCUGAGGCGCGAAAGUAUGGGUAGCAAAGAGGAUUAGAUACCCUCGUAGUCCAUACCAUAAACGAUGAUUGCUAGAUGUUGGAAAUUUAUUUUCAGUAUCGCAGCUAACGCAUUAAGCAAUCCGCCUGGGGAGUACGACCGCA